rnacentral:tRNA from 1 species
GUGCCGUUAGCUCAGUGGUAGCAGCAUAAAGAUUUCUUUAUAAGGUCGUCGGUUCGAUUCCGACACGGCGCA